GCAUGGCUGUCGUCAGCUCGUGUCGUGAGAUGUUCGGUUAAGUCCGCUAACGAGCGCAACCCUCGCUGUGUGUUAUAUGUGUCGACACGGGGCGUGCCGGUCUUAAGCCGGAGGAAGGUGGGGGAUGAUGUCAAGUCAGCAUGGCCUUUAUAUCCUGGGCUACACACACGCUACAAUGGCCAACGCAAUAGGUUGCUAAGCCGCGAGGUGGCGCCAAUCCAUAAAGUUGGUCUCAGUUCAGAUUGUAGGCUGCAACCCGCCUGCAUGAAGAUGGAGUUGCUAGUAACCGCAGGUCAGCUAUACUGCGGUGAAUACGUUCCCGGGGCUU
rnacentral:rRNA from 1 species